rnacentral:rRNA from 1 species
CUGGCUCAGGAUGAACGCUAGCUACAGGCUUAACACAUGCAAGUCGAGGGGCAGCAUGAACUUAGCUUGCUAAGUUGAUGGCGACCGGCGCACGGGUGAGUAACGCGUAUCCAACCUGGCCCUUAGUAGGGGAUAGCCCGGCGAAAGUCGGAUUAAUACCCUAUGUUUUCCGAAGCGAGCAUUCAAUUUGGAACAAAGAUUCAUCGCUAAGGGAUGGGGAUGCGUCUGAUUAGGUAGUCGGCGGGGUAACGGCCCACCGAGCCGACGAUCAGUAGGGGUUCUGAGAGGAAGGUCCCCCACAUUGGUACUGAGACACGGACCAAACUCCUACGGGAGGCAGCAGUGAGGAAUAUUGGUCAAUGGGCGAGAGCCUGAACCAGCCAAGUAGCGUGCAGGACGACGGCCCUAUGGGUUGUAAACUGCUUUUGGAGGGGAAUAAAGUGAGGCACGUGUGCCUUUUUGUAUGUACCCUCAGAAUAAGGACCGGCUAAUUCCGUGCCAGCAGCGGC